GGAUCGAUAAUAUUUUCCAAUAAAACAUUCCAUGGAAAGCUGAACAAGAUGAGUGAAAACUCAAUACUGCCGCUAUCAUCGUGACUGAGGUCC
ensembl:snoRNA LOC120100331 small nucleolar RNA SNORD116